UGGGGCACGUGCUCCGCGGUGAAAGCUACCGCCAGCCCUCCCUCUGAGUCCUCACCUGACGGGUGCUGGAACCGGCCCGUCCCUCAGGUGCCAGAGCUGAGCCCACGCCAGGGACUCCUCCCUCUGGCGACCUGAAUCCACGCCCCAAGUGAUGAAGACAGCCUCGCGGUCCCCCGGACCGCCCUAAGGCGGAAGUCAGGGCCUCUACCCUCUGCCUUUAUAAGGCCCCCUGAGAUGCCCACCGCACAAAUGCAGACGAUGUGAGUGCACUGAGUUGGCCUUCGCCUUCCAUGGACUUAAGCCUGACCGCUUUGAACCAAGAGUGGAACACAACCCCCCAGGUUUGUUGUCUUGGCACAUACAGGUAAGGCAAUAAAUCUGUAAAUAACUUAAGGACAAUUAACAUUUCCGGCAUUCUGAAUCUGUCAGGAACAUUUUAUAGUUGUCUCCAUGAAGGUCUUGAACAUUUUUGUGAAGCUUUUUCUUAGGUGAUCUUUGGAUUUUCAUGCCGUGGUGAAUGGGAUACGUAAACAAUUUUCAUAAUGCACUUAUCAUCCUCCACUUCUUUGCGUUUUCCCAGAGACAAAUCAAUAAAAGGUUGCAGUGUCAAUGAGACAGAGGGUAGUGUCUUUUUACAAAAUUUAUUUUUUCCAGCUUUAUUGAACUGUACUUGACAAAUAAAAAUUGCAUGCCUUUAAGGUAUAUAAUAUGAUGUUUCGAUACGUAUUGUGAAAU